CCUACGGGAGGCAGCAGUGGGGGAUAUUGCACAAUGGGGGGAACCCUGAUGCAGCGACGCCGCGUGGGUGAAGAAGCGCCUCGGCGCGUAAAGCCCUGUCAGCAGGGAAGAAAAUGACGGUACGUGAAGACGAAGCCCCGGCUAACUACGAGCCAGCAGCCGCGGUAUUACGGAGGGCGGAAGCGUUAUCCGGAUUUACUGGUUGUAACGGGGGCGCAGACGGCGGUGCAAGCCAGGAGUGAAAGCACGGGGCCGAACCCCGGGACUGCUCUUGGAACUGGGUGGCUGGAGUGCAGGAGGGGCAGGCGGAAUGCCAGGUGUAGCGGUGAAAUGCGUAGAUAUCAGGAGGAACACCGGUGGCGAAGGCGGCCUGCUGGACUGCAACUGACGCUGAGGCGCGAAAGCGUGGGGAGCAAACAGGAUUAGAUACCCGGGUAGUC
rnacentral:rRNA from 1 species